GAUGAAGAACGUAGCGAAAUGCGAUAAGUAGUGUGAAUUGCAGAAUUCAGUGAAUCAUCGAAUCUUUGAACGCACAUUGCUCCCCUUGGUAUUCCAUGGGGCAUGCCUGUUCGAGCGUCAUUUGUACCUUCAAGCUUUGCUUGGUGUUGGGUGUUUGUCUCGCCUUUGCGUGUAGACUCGCCUUAAAAUAAUUGGCAGCCGGCGUAUUGAUUUCGGAGCGCAGUACAUCUCGCGCUUUGCACUCAUAACGACAGCGUCCAAAAGUACAUUUUACACUCUUGACCUCGGAUCAGGUAGGGAUACCCGCUGAACUUAAGCAUAUCAAUAAGCGGAGGA
rnacentral:misc_RNA from 1 species